rnacentral:rRNA from 1 species
AUGGCCAUCCAUGUCGCCGUUGUCGUCGUUCUUCGCGCCACCGGAUGGAAUCGCCGCCACUGCACGCCUCUGUCGAGCUUGUGCCAUUGCCGUCGUCGCGGGCAGGCAGAAGCCUCUGUACGGCGUCGCCGCACAAGCCGGAUCUCUGCACCUCCUCUCAAGCCGCCGGAUGGCGCCCUCCAUUGCCUGAAGGGUCUCAAGCUUGAUUUCCACUAUGUUGGUUUAGCAGAUUACUAUUGCCUAGCUCAACUUCUCAAAAAGAGGAGCUGGGACCUGGGAGGAAUGACUCAUCUGGAUACCAAGCCUAUCUCCAUUGGUGGUUCCCCAAAUCAUAGCCAAUCACCUGUAGCUCACUCAAGAAUUAGAGACGAUGAAACCCAAGAAACUGAAGCAGGAAAAUCAUUGAAUGAGAAGCUAACAUGUGCAAAUGGGCCAAAUGAUUCUUUCCCACAGCAUGGUGAACUACCACUGCCAGAGGUCUCUACAAGUGUAGGAGAUGCUGAUAUGCAGGAUUCUGUGAAGAGUUUAAGUGAGAAGCUCUCUGCUGCUCUUUUGACUAUCAGUGCUAAAGAGGACUUGGUGAAGCAGCAUGCAAAAGUUGCAGAAGAUGUUGUUGCAGGUUGGGAGCUUGCUGAAGGUGAAGUUAGUAACCUGAAGCGGCCACUUGAUGCUUCAUCUCUGAAGAAUCCCUCUCUGGGGUCGCUCUGGUUGCCCCGUCGUCGUCGCCCAUCCUCUCCACCCCACCCCGGCCUGUCUCCUCCCUGCCCGCCGAAAGGAUGCUGCUGCUCACGCCGCUGCACCACUGGAGGAGCGCAUCGACUGUGGCGCUCGGCUCUCCUCCCUGCCCGCAUCUUCUUCGUCGCCGAGUAG